UGUUGAGUUUUUCCUCAGUUGUUUGUAUGGCAAGAGUUAAAUAUCCUGCUAUAUAAUAGUUAUGGCCAGAAAACAGUUCCAGGAACUCUCAGUACCAUAUUGGUUGCUUUUAAUUCCAGAGACAGAGAAAUAGUUAAGUAUAAUCCUUUCUUUCCCUUAAGUCGCUUUUAGUUGUAUUGCCAUGCCAGAGUGUAGGAGUUGGAAAAGACUGAGGUUGGUGUGGAGCGGAUUUGACCCGGACCUUGCAGACUAGAGUAGGAACUUGAUUAAUGUGGCCUGAGGUUUGGGGCAAGAUGAUUCCUCAUUGUGAAGGGCCAUCUUGAGCUUCGUAGAGUGCCCACUAGAUGCAAGUAGCACACAUCCACUGUCUCCUGUUGUGAAAACCAAACGUGUCUCCAAAUUGCCAAAUGUCGCCCCGGGGUGCAAAAUCACCAUCAGUUGAUAACCCCUGCAUUAGAAGGAAUAAAGAUGUCGUGAACUCUGA